CACAUUUCAGCCAAUUGGUUCAGCAUCACAAAGGAGACGAGUACUUGUAUUUCCGUUCUGUAUAGCUUGCCUACAGGACCGUGGUGAGCGAGCACAACGGCAAGGUGCUGCUGCUGGUGCUGGGAGGCCACAACAGGCCCCUUCUCAAGCCCCAUCCCCUUCUGUCUCCCCCUCCCCCUCUCAAGCCCACUCCACCUCUCCAGCCCAAUCCCCCUCUCAAGCCCAAUCCCUCUCUCCAGCCCAAUCCCCCUCUCCAGCCCCAAUCCCCCUCUCCAGCCCAAUCCCCCUCUCCAGCCCAAUCCCCCUCUCCAGCACAAUCACCCUCUCAAGCCCAAUCCCCAUCUCCAGCCACCUCACCCUCUUUUGCCAAUACUCCUCUCCAGCCCAAACUCCCUCUCCAGCCACCUCACACUCUUUUUCCCACUCCACCUCUCCAGCCCAAUCCCACUCUUUUCCACCCCCCCUCUCCAGCCCAAUCCCACUCUCUUUCCCAAUCCCCCUCUCCAGCCCACUCCCCCUCUCCAGCCCACACCCUCUCUACAGCCCAAUCCCACUCUCUUUCCCAAUUCCCCUCUCUGCCCCUCUUCCCCUCUGUGUCCCUAAAAACCACUCCACCACCCUCACCCUAUCAUUCCCAAACCCCCUCUGUAAGGACCUCCCUCUUCCAUCCUCUCACAGAUUUAGACCCUCCUUCCCCCAUCCUGCCUCCUUCCACCAUCCAGCACACAUCCCCCAUCCAGCCAACCUCGCCCAUCCAGCCUCCAUCCCCCAGCCAGACACCUUCGCCGCCAACAGAAUGGGCAGCAGAGGCACCAGAGCAAGUUGAGGGAGGUGGCCAAGUGGCAGACGAGAAUGGUGCCGUUGGAGAUCCCACAAGCCUGGCAGGCAUCGUUGGCCAGAUGAAGGGGCAUUUGGAGGCCAUGUUGGCCGAACUUAACAAUUUGACAAAUUUACUUUAAACAAACAAAAAAAAAAAAUACAGUUUAUAAAAAAACUUAAAAACCAAAAAAAAAAUGUUUAGAAAAUAAAAAAAUAUUUUGAACCGU